UGGCGGACGGGUGAGUAAUGCGUAGGAAGCUACCCUAUAGUGGGGGAUAACCUAGGGAAACUUAGGCUAAUACCGCAUAAUCUUUACGAAGCAAAGCUGGGGACCUUAGGGCCUGGCGCUUUAGGAUGUGCCUACGUCAGAUUAGCUUGUUGGUGGGGUAAUGGCCUACCAAGGCGACGAUCUGUAGCUGGUCUGAGAGGAUGACCAGCCACACUGGGACUGAGACACGGCCCAGACUCC
rnacentral:rRNA from 1 species